CUACGGGUUGCAGCAGUGAGGAAUUUUGCGCAAUGGGGGAAACCCUGACGCAGCAACGCCGCGUGAGCGAAGAAGGCCCUCGGGUCGUAAAGCUCUGUCAAGUGGGAAAAAAAUCUUUUGAUCAAUAGUCAAGAGACUUGAUGGUACCACUGGAGGAAGCACCGGCCAACUCCGUGCCAGCAGCCGCGGUAAUACGGAGGGUGCAAGCGUUGUUCGGAUUUACUGGGCGUAAAGAGCGUGUAGGCGGUUUAGCAAGUCAGAUGUGAAAGCCCUGGGCUCAACCCGGGAAGUGCAUUUGAAACUGCUUCACUAGAGUAUGGGAGAGGAGAUUGGAAUUCCUGGUGUAGAGGCGAAAUUCGUAGAUAUCAGGAGGAACACCCGUGGCGAAGGCGAUUCUCUGGACCAAUACUGACGCUGAGACGCGAAAGCGUGGGGAGCAAACAGGAUUAGAUACCCUGGUAGUC
rnacentral:rRNA from 1 species